AGGCCAGGGUGUGGUCCACACCACCUCCCCUUCUCUGGGAUGAAAAACAAAAGUCCUCAGGCCAGGGAGUGGAGGGAAAGAUGGGCGAGCAGCAGACUGAGGAGACUGACCAGAAUCAGAGGAUCCCAGCUAUGUAAGAAGUCUUGAUGCCCUCCCCAGAACCCUUCCAUCCUGCGUCUCAAGUGUUAGAGGACUGAGUUCCUAAAACUUCACAGGACACAGAGGAAUUAAGAAGGGAUGGAAAGAAAAAGAGGGAGAGGAAGAAAGACACCUGCAAUACUGCUUCACUGCUCAAGAAGCUUUCCCCCUGAAGCCAUCAAGUUGCAGACACUACUAUGAUGCCAUCAUGACUCCCCUGGGCAGACAACCUCACCAAUGUGUCUUAGAACCUCACCUCUCCAGAGCCCUAUCUGAUUAGGUAAAGAUAGAAACAGGCUGGGAUUAAGGAUCAACCUGCCAAAAUCCAUGUCCACUGGAGAAGCAAUUACAGAAGCCAGACCUUUCACCUACUGUACCCCAUAAGGAAUUUUGGUCCAGUGGUCGGGAAGGUGACACAGUGG